rnacentral:lncRNA from 1 species
AUUUAGAAAAUUAUCUGAAAUGUCUUAUUUUUUAUUAUGUGCCAAUUGACACAUUUGUGUAAUUCUAUGAAAUUAUAUAUCACUAUCUUCCCUAGAAAAUGCCUUCUAUGUGAUUCUAUUUUUUAAACUUCAGUUAUAUAUGGGUAGUCUUAAUGGUCGCUUUGCCUUAUUUUUUGAAGUUUCCACAUGAUUUUACAAAUCAACCUGCUUCAUCAGUGUCAGGAACAUGCUCAAAGCCGUCCAGUGUUGGCAGAAGAGGAGGCUUGGAAACGUUGAUGUAGAAGCAGAGACUGAAAGCUCUGGGAUCUCUUAGGCAUGAAGAAGCACGACCCCUUUGUUUUGGAGUUGAUUCCAAAAUAUGCACAAAGAUCAUCAAAACCAGCUGGGACUGAGAAGUAACCACAGCCACCUCUGCAAGGAUCAGGCCUACACAGCCUUCCAGCAGCUUCACCCAGGUGCAACCUUACAGCAACCAUGCCUUGGAAUAUAUGCCACAUACCUCUCACUCUCUGACCUGGGUCUUCUUGGACAUUGUGGUGUCGGAUGCUCCGGGGAACUGGGUGACCACUUAUGCUCUUGCAAUCAGAAAAUGAAGAGCAAGGGCUGCAAAGACUACCUUGAUCAAUGAGGGAAGGAAGCUAAGGGACUCAUGCUUUCUGCCUUUCAUGCCAUGGGUGACAGUUCUAAGGAGUGCAGUCAUGUGCCCCUGAUAGCAGGGACAGGUUCUGAGGAACGGGUCACUAGGCAAUUUUGUCAUUGUGCAUCGUAGAGUACACUUACACAAACCUAAGUGGCAGAGCUUACUACAUGCCUAGGCUACAUGGUAUAACCUAUGGCUCCAAGACUCUAAACCUGUACAGCACGUUGCUGUACUGAAUACUGCAGGCAACUGUCACACAGUAGUAUACCUUUUCUAUCGAAACAUAGAAAGUAUAUAUUAACAAUAUGGUAUAAAAAUUAAAAAUUAUAUUCCUAUAUAUGGAACUUAUCAUGAAUGGCGCUUACAGGAUUGGAAGCUGCUCAGGAUGAGUCAGUGAGUGGGUGGUGAGUGGACGUAAAGGCCUGGAGCAUUACUGUACGCUACUGUAGACUUCUUAAACAAGAUGCUCUCAGACUACAUUAAAUUUAUUUACAAAUUUUUCUUUCUUAAAUAGUAGAUUAACUUCACUUACUUUAAUAUUUUUACUUUUUAAAGUUUUUGUCUCUUUUGUGAUAAUGCUUAGCUUAAAACACACAGUGUAUAGCUGAAACAAAAUUUCUUUAUAGCCUUAUUCUAUAUAAUUUAUUUUCUAUUUUAAAAUUAUUUUAUUUUUAAUUUUUAAACUCUUUUUGUUAAAAACAAAUAUACAAACAUACACAUCAGCGUAGGCCCACACAGGCCCAAGAUCUCCAAUAUGACUGUCUUGCACUCCCACCUCUUUCCCACUGGAAGAUCUUUGAGGCGCUAACACCCAUGGAACUGUCAUCUGCUAUGAUAAUAACGCAUUCCUCUGGAUACUUCCUAAAAGACCUACUCAAGGCUGAUUCACAGAUUUUUUCCCCCCUCAUGAGUGAAAGGAGUAUACUCUAAAAUAGCAAUAAAAAGUACAGUAUAGCAAAUACGUAAAGCAGUACCAUAGUUAUUAUCAUCAUCAAGUAUUACGUACAGUAUAUAAUUGUGUGUGCUAUGCUUUUAUGUGACUGGCAGCACAAUAGGUUUAUUUACACCAGCGUCACCAAGAACAUGAGUAAUGCAUUGUGCUACGGUGUUAUGACAGCUAUGAUGUCACUAGGUGAUGAGAAUUUUUCAACUCCCUUGUAAUCUUACGUGGCCACUGUCAUAUAUGCAGUCCAUCACUGACUGAAAUGUUGUUAUUCAGUGCAUGGCUGAAUCUCAUAGAGCUGGACAGAAGGUCCCAUGAGUGCUCAUUCAAUUGGUUUUCCUUCCCUGUGGUUCUGAUAUCUCAUUGCCAAAAAAUAUCUGCACAGAAAUCUUUAUCUUGGGCUGUGCUUUCAGAUUAUGACUCUUGGGCUAUAAUAAUUUUAUUCAGAUAAACAAUAUAGUAGUUUUCAAGAUUUUGGUUUUAGAAUCCUUUAAAAUCCUUUUCUUGAGGUUCAGAUAUACAAUAUAGCAUAUAAUUUUACUCAGAUAUACAAUAUAGCAGUUUUCAAUGUUUUGGUUUUAAGAUCCUUAAAUAUUUUUUUUGAGGAUCCUUUUAUGAGUACUUUGGUCUUGUGAUUAUACUUUAAGAGUAUAAUCUUUAAAACUAAUUACCCCAAAGAGCUUCUUAAUGUGAGCUAUAUCAUUGAUAUUUACCACACUAAAAAUGAAAAUUUGAAAUUUUUACAUUUGUUUAUAAAUUCAUUUAAAUAUAUUAGUAAAUUUAUUCCAGGUUAAUAUAAAUAAUGUUUUAUGAAAAAGAAACUGUAUUUUCCAAAACAAAGUAAAAACCUUAUAAGAAGAGUAGCAUUAUCUUAUUCUUUUGCAAAUGUUUUAAAUGUCUGGUCAAAUAAGAGAUAGCUGGCAUCUCAUAGUUGCUGCUGUAGUGAGUCUUUGUAAUAUAUGGUUUUAGUUCAAGUAUCUGAAAAAAAUCCAGCCUCACAGAGGAGAUGUAGUUGAAAAAGGGAGGAGUAUUGAGUAGUCUUUACAGGUAAUUGUGGAUGUUCUUCUUUGAUACAGCACCAGAACUCUGUAAGUGGUAGAUUCUUGAAGGUUAGUUGUAAUGUAAAAUCUGUACUUUUAUC